UGCCCAGGCUGGAGCGAGUGCAGUGGUGCAGUCGAUCCUAGCUCACUGCAGCCUCGAACUCCUGGGCU
ensembl:miRNA